AUUCUCACAGACAAUUCCUAUCAACAUGGCAGGUCUCAUUGUGUGUUGUUGAAGAGCCACAACUGAUCAUUCCUGCUAAAAAUCUGAACCCAAAAUUGGUAAGUUAGGACGGAAGGUUGACUAAGAAGUCUGCUAUCAUCUGGCUUGUCAUGACCAAUUAUGGACAGUGUUUGGAGAUUUAGGGAGAAUAUGUUGAAGGGGAAAGGAUGCAGAUGAGGACUGAAGAUGAACAGAAAAGUAAAGCUAUUUAAAGAAGCACAUUGGGAGUCCAGUGGUAGCGCUGGAAGCACAUUGGGAGUCCAGUGGUUAAGCUCACAUGGCUCAAAGCGCAAGAACUGGCAGAAGGAUCCCGGUUGGAGCCCCCGGCUCCCCACCUACAGGAGAGUUGCUUCACAAGCGGAGAAGCAGGUCUGCAGGUGUCUCUCUUUCUCUUGCCCUCUCUGUCUUCCCCUCUUCUCUCCAUUUCUCUCUGUUCUAUCCAACAACGAUGACAUUAAUAACUAUAACAACAAUAAAAAACAAAAAGAUCCCUAAGACAGCAAGAACCUCAUAUCUCCACGAUAGAGCCUAUAUUUCCCCAAGUCCUGGAACCUUAGGAUAGGGCCCACUUUCCCGCAUGCCUUUCCCAAUCCAUAUCAAAUAAUACUGCAUCUGCU